AAAUUCUAAAGGCAUUAAGAGUAGAUUGCAUAUUCCUCAUGGAUAAAAUAAAUCUAAAAUCCAAUUACACUGAGUAUUGUGUCAAUAAAGUGGCUACACCAUAGCCUUAGCAAAAAAAGAAAAACUUAGUUCAUGCCUAAAAGAAAAGAAACAGAAAAUAAAAUAAGAAGUGUUCUCUGAUUUACAGCAAACUCAGAAUUUUCAGCAAUCCUAUUUCUUCAGCAAUUCAGAUUUUCAGCACUCUAGAUCUUGAGCAGUUUGUUUCCAGCAAUCUGUUCUUCAAAGCUCUUGUUUCCAGCAAUCUGUUCUUCGACAGAUCUGGUUUUCAUCAUUUUGUUGGGCGAGAAGAGAUGUGGAAGAAGAAUCCAAGAGGUAAGAGACAGAGGCCAGAAAAGUGUCUUCCCCGCAUUCCCCCUCUUCCUCUCUUUUUAAAGACCUCACCGCGCCCUGUUUUUUUUUUUCACUCUUCCCAAUUUCUCUCCGAUUCCAAUUCCUCAACCUACCUCUCUUUCCUUUUCUUUCAGAGACCCAAACCGCAUUGUCUCUAAUCCACGCUGAAUAAUCCAGAUUUGUUUCCUCCCGCUUGAAAGAAGCCAGGCCGUCCUUCCUUAUUUUGACUCGGUGAAGACCCAAGCCGUUGCUGUUGCUUUGCUGAUCAGUGUUUCACGCGCAGGGGGAAAUUGUUUCUGUUUUUGCGCGCGCUCUGUUUCACGCGCGUGGGGUUGCAAUCAGCCU
rnacentral:lncRNA from 1 species